rnacentral:lncRNA from 1 species
GUGGCCUGUCGAUAAAAUUAUUUUAUGUUUCUUGUUGCGAUCAUUGACAUCGAUAAUCUGAUAUAGAUCCCUUUUUCAUUGGUGUGAUUUCGGCAGAAAAUGAGGAGAAACUAUCUAAUCGUAAAGACACAUUCUUUUGGCAAGAGGUUCUUUUGGGAUUUCGUUAAAAUCGAUAUAGCCCCAAAUGCUUGAACUAUUUUCUUUCAUUGAUUCCUACAUUAUGAUGUAGUGUCUAUUUUUUUUUAAACUAGUACAUGUACACGGUUAGUUUGAAGUUUGAAAUAAAAG